rnacentral:rRNA from 1 species
AUGUUGGGAGAAGUGGCUACGAAUGAAGAGCAUGACGGGCUGGUCUGGAGACUCAAUGAGAAAAAUAGAUUUGUGGUGAGGGACUUAUACUUGUUUUUCAAAUCAUCUCCCCUUGCGGGGUUUAGAGGGAUUUGGAAACUUAAAACGCCAUUGAAGAUCAAGAUCUUCUUAUGGCUGAUGAUCAAAAAAAGCAUCCUCACAAAGGAUAACCUGAUCAAGAGAGGGUGGACUAAAAAUGAGGAAUGCCACUUUUGUAGUGGUAAGGAGAGUAUUGAUCACCUGAUGUUCUAGUGUGGACUGGCCAGAUUUGUUUGA